rnacentral:lncRNA from 1 species
AGCCAGGAGGUGGGACUUUUAAGAGAGCUUCAGCUGCAGUAGUAUAGAGAGGAUCAGGUGGUGGGCGGAGCCCUAGAGCUCCCAAGAGAUUUUGUCCUUUGUCUUCAGCUACCAGAGCAGGUAAAGAAAGACCAUCAGGUAGAGGCAGGGUUAGGCAUUUUUGAGCUCAAAGUCUCCUUGGCUGGGGCUUGCUGUGGCUGCUGUAGGGGUUAGGGGUGUGGUUACCAAGCCAAUGGAGUUAUGUUCCCAGGGGAUUAUGGCUGCUUUCGCUGUGUCAUGCAGGUUACCAGGGAUGUGGGGGAAAGCCAGCAGUUACAGGCCUCACCUAGCUCCCCCGCAGCCCAAAAGUCUGGUCUCACUUCCACGGUGUCGCCACCAACAGCAUUGAGUUAAUUUCCAGGCAGUGGGUGAGAAGGGCUGAGAACUUGCCCCAGGCUACCAGCCUUGGGGAGGGGAGGCGGGGGGAGAAAGUAAGCAGGGCUUUCAGGUUUUGCACCUCCCUGCCUGCUGCAGCUUCUGUGCUAUGUCUGCACUUCCAAUUCACCUCCUGCCUCAGGUUCUGUCCAGAAAACUUAGCGCUUGGUUGAAAUUGUUACAGAGAUCAUCUGGAAGUUUCCUUCUCCCUGUGAUCUUUUCCUAGUUCCUCUGCAGCCCUCCUCAAGAACCCCUGUAAGACAAAGUCAGAAAUGGUUUUCCAGGGGACAAAGAGUGCCCACAGGGCUCUUCCCACUGUUUCUUUUACCGUUGUGUUUUGCUCGGCUCUCUAAAUUUGUCUCAGCUCCAGGGGCCUGCAACAGCAAUCUGCCUCCUUCAAAGGGUCUGUGGAUCCUCUUGGCUUUCCCGGUAUGUUCCUGUGGUAGUUCUUGGAGCAAAAGUUCACGAUGUGAGUCUCCACACACUGCUCUGUCCACUGGAGUGGGAGCUGCAAGUUAGUCCUGCCUCCAAUCUGCCAUUUUCCCCCACCUGAUCCAUCAUUCUAUUCUCUUUGUCUGAUGGCGGCUCCCCCUUUGCUUUCUACCAUGAUUGGAAGCUUCCUGAGGCCUCCCCAGAAGCAGAAGCCACUAUACUUCCUGUACAGCCUGAAGAACCGUGAGUCAAUUCAAUCUUUUUUCUUUAUAAAUUACCUAAUAGCAGGUAUUUCUUUAUAACAAUGCAAGAAUGGGUGAAUACAUGAUUCUUUCCAGGAAUUUAUCCUGGACCCUCCUUGCCUCUGUCUCUGAUGAUGCCCUGCCCCAUUCUCAGGCUUGUCUUUACUUCUCCUCCUGGCUUUUGAACUUGAAGUGGUUUCAUUUCCCUUUUUAAUCCCACAAGGUAUCCCUUGUGAUUAAUUUUCAGCUCUGGGAGGAUGCUCCCCUCUGGUUUUACCUCUCAAAACUCAUGCCUGGUGCCAGGUUUUAAUUAGCCCCUUGUCAGCCCCUCCCUCCCUUCAGGAAUGAAAAAGACUGAGGUCAAUGUAUUAUAAUUACAAUUGUGUUGAAGAUAUUUCCAACACACUGGAUGCUGAUAGGUGAAGAGAUAAUGAGUGGUAAAAUAUCAAGACUAAUAUUCUUAUCACUACUGUCUAGAAAUACAUACUGACAAUGGGAUCAAAGAAAACCAGAGCAGCCUAGGGAACCCUAUUCUAUCCCAUUUGUAAAUUUUGAUUUAUAACUGAACCUGACUGAUCUUUGUUAUCAAUGAAUAAUAAGUUAUUGCUGAGGAUGUGGACAAAUAAAUGGGAAUGAAUCUGCCACAAAAGCUUCAAACCAAACAUAUGACUUUUUAUUCUCUUGUUUUUUCACUAGUUCUAGACUCAGGCAUUUCAUGAAACUCUGUGCAAAUUUUCAAGGGUAGAACUCAAUAUGUUGUGCCUGAUCUGAAAACUCUAAAUUCUGAAA